UAAUGGGUCAGCGACUUAUAUUCAGUGGCAAGGUUAACCAUCUAGGGGAGCCGUAGGGAAACCGAGUCUUAACUGGGCGUUCAGUCUCUGGAUAUAGACCCGAAACCAGGUGAUCUAGCCAUGGGCAGGUUGAAGGUUGAGUAACAUCAACUGGAGGACCGAACCGACUAAUGUUGAAAAAUUAGCGGAUGACUUGUGGCUAGGGGUGAAAGGCCAAUCAAACCUGGAGAUAGCUGGUUCUCCCCGAAAGCUAUUUAGGUAGCGCCUCGGACGAAUACUACUGGGGGUAGAGCACUGUUAAGGCUAGGGGGUCAUCCCGACUUACCAACCCUUUGCAAACUCCGAAUACCAGUAAGUACUAUCCGGGAGACACACGGCGGGUGCUAACGUCCGUCGUGGAGAGGGAAACAACCCAGACCGCCAGCUAAGGUCCCAAAUUACUACUAAGUGGGAAACGAUGUGGGAAGGCUCAGACAGCCAGGAUGUUGGCUUAGAAGCAGCCAUCAUUUAAAGAAAGCGUAAUAGCUCACUGGUCGAGUCGGCCUGCGCGGAAGAUGUAACGGGGCUAAGUAGUAAACCGAAGCUGCGGCAAUAUACUUUUGUAUAUUGGGUAGGGGAGCGUUCUGUAAGCGGUUGAAGGUGUGUGGUAACGCAUGCUGGACGUAUCAGAAGUGCGAAUGCUGACAUGAGUAACG
rnacentral:rRNA from 1 species